UACGGGGGGUGCGAGCGUUGUCCGGAAUCACUAGGCGUAAAGGGCGCGUAGGUGGCCUGGUAAGUCUGUGGUGAAAGCCCGGAGCUCAACUCCGGGUCUGCCGCGGAUACUGCGAGGCUUGAGUGCUGUAGAGGGGGGUAGAAUGCCGGGUGUAGCGGUGGAAUGCGUAGAGAUCCGGCAGAAGACCGGUGGCGAAGGCGGCCCCCUGGGCAGUAACUGACACUGAGGCGCGACAGCGUGGGGAGCAAACAGG
rnacentral:rRNA from 1 species